AACGAUAUUGGUUGACUCGAU
rnacentral:miRNA from 1 species